UACGUAGGGGGCAAGCGUUGUCCGGAAUCAUUGGGCGUAAAGCGUGUGCAGGCGGGCUGUCAAGUGGUGUAUGAAAUCUCCCGGCUUAACCGGGAUAGGUUAUGCCAGACUGGCAGUCUAGAGGCUGAGAGAGGAGCGUGGAAUUCCGGGUGUAGUGGUGAAAUGCGUAGAGAUCCGGAGGAACCCCAGAGGCGAAGGCGGCGCUCUGGCUCAGCCCUGACGCUCAGACACGACAGCAUAGGGAGCGAACGGG
rnacentral:rRNA from 1 species